AGGGGAAUAGUACAAUGGUAGUGCGGCGGUCUCCAAAACCGUUGAUGGGAGUUCGAUCCUCUCUUCCCCUG
rnacentral:tRNA from 2 species